UACCACGGAGGUUACCUGCUU
rnacentral:piRNA from 1 species